GAUUUCUGGCUUGAUACAUUAUGCCGGCCACGGUUUCGUGUGUUAGUGCAUGAUGUUUGGGCCAUCCUUCCAAUUGCUGCCUGCUACUCUUCACUGAGUGGUAGGUGGUAUUGGAUCUUUUACUUUGAAAAAAUUAGAGUGUUUCAAGCAGGCAUGUUUUGCUAUGAAUACAUUAGCAUGGAAUAAUAAUCUAGGACUUUCGGUUCUAUUUUGUUGGUGUUCUGGAGCUGAAGUAAUGAUUGAUAGGGAUAGUUGGGGGUGCUAGUAUUCAAUGGCCAGAGGUGAAAUUCUCGGAUUCCUUGAAGACUAACUUAUGCGAAAGCAUU
rnacentral:rRNA from 1 species